rnacentral:rRNA from 1 species
GAUGAACGCUGGCGGCGUGCCUAAUACAUGCAAGUCGAGCGAAUGGAUUAAGAGCUUGCUCUUAUGAAGUUAGCGGCGAACGGGUGAGUAACACGUGAGUAACCUGCCCUUGACUCUGGGAUAACUGCUAGAAAUGGUAGCUAAUACCGGAUACGACCCUCGGAGGCAUCUCCAGGGGGUGGAAAGAAUGUCGGUCAAGGAUGGACUCGCGGCCUAUCAGCUAGUUGGUGAGGUAACGGCUCACCAAGGCGACGACGGGUAGCCGGCCUGAGAGGGGGACCGGCCACACUGGGACUGAGACACGGCCCAGAGUCCUACGGGAGGCAGCAGUGGGGAAUAUUGCACAAUGGGCGCAAGCCUGAUGCAGCAACGCCGCGUGGGGGAUGACGGCCUUCGGGUUGUAAACCUCUUUUAGUAGGGAAGAAGCGAAAGUGACGGUACCUGCAGAAAAAGCACCGGCUAACUACGUGCCAGCAGCCGCAGUAA